AGAGUUUGAUCCUGGCUCAGAACGAACGCUGGCGGCGCGUCUUAAGCAUGCAAGUCGAACGGCAAGAGAGAAGCUUGCUUCUCUCCUAGAGUGGCGGACUGGUGAGGAACACGUGGGUAAUCUGCCCUUAAGAUGGGGAUAGCUGCUAGAAAUAGCAGGUAAUACCGAAUACACUCGGCGCUUCAUAAGAGGUGUUGAGGAAAGGAAGCUAUGGCUUCGCUUGAGGAUGAGCUUGCGUCCCAUUAGCUAGUUGGUGAGGUAAAGGCUCACCAAGGCGACGAUGGGUAUCCGGCCUGAGAGGGUGAUCGGACACAUUGGGACUGAGAUACGGCCCAAACUCCUACGGGAGGCAGCAGCUAAGAAUAUUCCGCAAUGGACGGAAGUCUGACGGAGCGACGCCGCGUGGAUGAAGAAGGCUGAAAAGUUGUAAAAUCCUUUUGUUGAUGAAGAAUAAGGGUGAGAGGGAAUGCUCAUCUGAUGACGGUAAUCGACGAAUAAGCCCCGGCUAAUUACGUGCCAGCAGCCGCGGUAACACGUAAGGGGCGAGCGUUGUUCGGAAUUAUUGGGCGUAAAGGGCAUGUAGGCGGUUGUGUAAGCCUGGUGUGAAAUCCUGGGGCUUAACCCCAGAAUAGCAUUGGGUACUGCACGACUUGAAUUACGGAAGGGAAACUGGAAUUCCAAGUGUAGGGGUGGAAUCUGUAGAUAUUUGGAAGAACACCGGUGGCGAAGGCGGGUUUCUGGCCGAUAAUUGACGCUGAGAUGCGAAAGUGUGGGGAUCGAACAGGAUUAGAUACCCUGGUAGUCCACACUGUAAACGAUGUACACUAGGUGUUGGGGCAAGAGCUUCAGUGCCAAAGCAAACGCGAUAAGUGUACCGCCUGGGGAGUAUGCCCGCAAGGGUGAAACUCAAAGGAAUUGACGGGGGCCCGCACAAGCGGUGGAGCAUGUGGUUUA
rnacentral:rRNA from 1 species